GGCUAGUUAGCUCAGCUGGUUAGAGCGUGGUGCUAAUAACGCCAAGGUCAUGGGUUCAAGCCCCGUUUGGGCCA
rfam:Chelonia mydas contig171576, whole genome shotgun sequence.